rnacentral:rRNA from 2 species
CCCCUUUCCAUUCCGAACAGGGAAGUUAAGCCCGUUUGCGCCGAUGGUACUGCCACACCAGGUGGGAGAGUAGGUCGCCGCCUUCC